rnacentral:rRNA from 1 species
CCUACGGGUAGCAGCAGUGAGGAAUAUUGGUCAAUGGGCGGGAGCCUGAACCAGCCAAGUCGCGUGAGGGAAGAAGGUACUGAGUAUUGUACACCUCUUUUGCCAGGGUACAAAGUCGGCCACGGGUGGCCGUACGAUGGUACCUUGAGAACAAGCAUCGGCUAACUCCGUGCCAGCAGCCGCGGUAAUACGGAGGAUGCGAGCGUUAUCCGGAUUUAUUGGGUGUAAAGGGUGCGCAGGCGGCGUGUCAAUGCAGCGGUAAAAUGUCGGGGCUCAACCCCGGCCGGCCGUUGAAACUGGCGUGCUUGAGUUGGAGAGAAGUAUGCGGAAUUCGUGGUGUAGCGGUGAAAUGCAUAGAUAUCACGAAGAACCCCGAUUGCGAAGGCAGCAUACCGGAGCCACACUGACGCUGAGGCACGAAAGCGUGGGUAUCGAACAGGAGUAGAUACCCCAGUAGUC